GCCCUUCUGACUGGCGCAGCUACUCUGGCAACAGAGCGACGUAUGCCGGGAAGUUGGUCUAAACUUGAUCAUUUAGAGGAAGUAAAAGUCGUAUCAAGGUUUCUGUAGGUGAACCUGCGGAAGGAUCAUUACUGAUGUGAAAAAUCCAAGGUUAAACAUCAUUAAUCAAACAGUGUGAACUGUGAAACAACUCUUUAGGGGUCGGCACAGGCGUGUGUCGUUAAAUGGCGGAUAGGUUCCUUCCGCCAGCCCCGCCAUUGUGUUUAUGAUAUCACUUUGAACGUUAAAGACUGAGAACGUAUGUAUCAUGCAUUAAAUGUAUGAGAAAGAAGGAAAGAAAAAUAAGAGACAACUUUUGACGGUGGAUCUCUUGGCUCACGUAUCGAUGAAGAACGCAGCCAGCUGCGAUAUGUAGUGUGAAUUGCAGAAUUCAGUGAAUCAUUGAAUCUUUGAACGCAAAUGGCGCUCUUGGGUUCUUCCAGGAGCAUGUCUGUCUGAGUGUCGGAUUUUAUCGAACGCACUCGUGAGUGCGGUAUUGAGGUGUCCCGGCGUGUUAGCAAGCAUUACAUCGCCGUGUCCCUUGAAGGACAGCAGCAUUGGACUCGCAUUCUGUAUUGAAACUUGAGUGCGAAGGCUAAAGAUAAUAUUUUCCUUCGCCCAAACAUGCAAUAGCAGAAACAAAAUCCAAUCAAAGCGGUGACAGACAAUAAACAUCAAAUCUUGACCUCAGAUCAGGCAAGGCUACCCGCUGAAUUUAAGCAUAUUAAUAAGCGGAGGAAAAGAAACUAACAAGGAUUCCCUCAGUAACGGCGAGUGAAGCGGGAAUAGCUCAAAUUUGAAAUCUCCGACGCUUGCGUCGGCGAAUUGUAGUUGCGAGAAGCACUUUCUAGGCGGAUCGGUCGUGCCUAAGUUGCUUGGAACAGUACGUCAUAGAGGGUGACAACCCCGUCUGUGGCUCGGCCGGCCGCUCACGAUGGCUAC
rnacentral:rRNA from 1 species